GGGGGCUCGAGUUGAUUCGGGCUCCGGCCCGAUCCUCCCACCCUUUGUGUACCUACCUCUGUUGCUUUGGCGGGCCGCGGUUCUCCGCGGCCGCCCCCCUCCCCGGGGGGUGGCCAGCGCCCGCCAGAGGACCAUCAAACUCCAGUCAGUAAACGAUGCAGUCUGAAAAACAUUUAAUAAACUAAAACUUUCAACAACGGAUCUCUUGGUUCUGGCAUCGAUGAAGAACGCAGCGAAAUGCGAUAAGUAAUGUGAAUUGCAGAAUUCAGUGAAUCAUCGAAUCUUUGAACGCACAUUGCGCCCUUUGGUAUUCCGAAGGGCAUGCCUGUUCGAGCGUCAUUACAACCCUCAAGCUCUGCUUGGUAUUGGGCACCGUCCUUUGCGGGCGCGCCUCAAAGACCUCGGCGGUGGCGUCUUGCCUCAAGCGUAGUAGAACAUACAUCUCGCUUCGGAGCGCAGGGCGUCGCCCGCCGGACGAACCUUCUGAACUUUUCUCAAGGUUGACCUCGGAUCAGGUAGGGAUACCCGCUGAACUUAAGCAUAUCAAUAAGCGGAGGAA
rnacentral:rRNA from 1 species